UACGUAGGGGGCAAGCGUUAUCCGGAUUUACUGGGUGUAAAGGGAGCGUAGACGGCAAAGCAAGUCCGGAGUGAAAGCCCGGGGCCCAACCCCGGGACUGCUCUGGAAACUGUUAAGCUGGAGUGCGGGAGGGGCAGGCGGAAUUCCUGGUGUAGCGGUGAAAUGCGUAGAUAUCAGGAGGAACACCGGCGGCGAAGGCGGCCUGCUGGACCGUGACUGACGUUGGGGCUCGAAAGCGUGGGGAGCAAACAGG
rnacentral:rRNA from 1 species